rnacentral:rRNA from 1 species
GAUGAACGCUGGCGGCGUGCCUAAUACAUGCAAGUCGAGCGAACAGACGAGGAGCUUGCUCCUCUGACGUUAGCGGCGGACGGGUGAGUAACACGUGGAUAACCUACCUAUAAGACUGGGAUAACUUCGGGAAACCGGAGCUAAUACCGGAUAAUAUAUUGAACCGCAUGGUUCAAUAGUGAAAGACGGCUUUGCUGUCACUUAUAGAUGGAUCCGCGCCGCAUUAGCUAGUUGGUAAGGUACAGGCUUACCAAGGCAACGAUGCGUAGCCGACCUGAGAGGGUGAGCGUCCCCACGGGAACUGAAACACGGUCCAGACGCCUACGAGAGGCAGCAGUAGAGAAUCUUCCGCAAUGGGCGAAAGCCUGACGGAGCAACGCCGCGUGAGUGAUGAAGGUCUUCGGAUCGUAAAACUCUGUUAUUAGGGAAGAACAAAUGUGUAAGUAACUAUGCACGUCUUGACGGUACCUAAUCAGAAAGCCACGGCUAACUACGUG